CAAACGACUCUCGGCAACGGAUAUCUCGGCUCAUGCAUCGAUGAAGAACGUAGCGAAAUGCGAUACUUGGUGUGAAUUGCAGAAUCCCGUGAACCAUCGAGUCUUUGAACGCAAGUUGCGCCCGAAGCCAUUCGGCCGAGGGCACGCCUGCCUGGGCGUCACGC
rnacentral:rRNA from 9 species